rnacentral:ncRNA from 2 species
UAAACAAUUAAUUUUUCAGGUGCCCGCAAGGGGUAAAAGGGAACCGGGUGAGAAUCCCGGGCGGUCCCGCCACUGUAACCGGUAGUCCACCUCGUAACCACCGUUUGUCGUCCUUUUGGGGCAAGGCAGGCGGGAAGGGAGGCGCGGACGCUAUCCCGGAAGUCAGGAAACCUGCCUGGAAAUGCCCACCACA